rnacentral:rRNA from 1 species
GACGAACGCUGGCGGCGUGCUUAACACAUGCAAGUCGAACGGAAAGGCCCUGCUUUUGUGGGGUGCUCGAGUGGCGAACGGGUGAGUAACACGUGAGUAACCUGCCCUUGACUUUGGGAUAACUUCAGGAAACUGGGGCUAAUACCGGAUAGGAGCUCCUGCUGCAUGGUGGGCGUUGGAAAGUUUCGGCGGUUGGGGUUGGACUCGCGGCUUAUCAGCUUGUUGGUGGGGUAGUGGCUUACCAAGGCUUUGACGGGUAGCCGGCCUGAGAGGGUGACCGGCCACAUUGGGACUGAGAUACGGCCCAGACGCCUACGGGAGGCAGCAGUGGGGAAUAUUGCACAAUGGGCGGAAGCCUGAUGCAGCAACGCCGCGUGCGGGAUGACGGCCUUCGGGUUGUAAACCGCUUUCGCCUGUGACGAAGCGGGAGUGACGGUAAUGGGUAAAGAAGCACCGGCUAACUACGUG